GACGAACGCUGGCGGCGUGCUUAACACAUGCAAGUCGAACGGAAAGGCCCUGCUUUUGUGGGGUGCUCGAGUGGCGAACGGGUGAGUAACACGUGAGUAACCUGCCCUUGACUUUGGGAUAACUUCAGGAAACUGGGGCUAAUACCGGAUAGGAGCUCCUGCUGCAUGGUGGGGGUUGGAAAGUUUCGGCGGUUGGGGAUGGACUCGCGGCUUAUCAGCUUGUUGGUGGGGUAGUGGCUUACCAAAGCUUUGACGGGUAGCCGGCCUGAGAGGGUGACCGGCCACAUUGGGACUGAGAUACGGCCCAGACUCCUACGGGAGGCAGCAGUGGGGAAUAUUGCACAAUGGGCGGAAGCCUGAUGCAGCAACGCCGCGUGCGGGAUGACGGCCUUCGGGUUGUAAACCGCUUUCGCCCGUGACGAAGCGUGAGUGACGGUAAUGGGUAAAGAAGCACCGGCUAACUACGUG
rnacentral:rRNA from 1 species